AGUGAACGCUGGCGGUAGGCCUAACACAUGCAAGUCGAACGGCAGCACAGUAAGAGCUUGCUCUUACGGGUGGCGAGUGGCGGACGGGUGAGGAAUACAUCGGAAUCUACUUUUUCGUGGGGGAUAACGUAGGGAAACUUACGCUAAUACCGCAUACGACCUACGGGUGAAAGCAGGGGAUCUUCGGACCUUGCGCGAUUGAAUGAGCCGAUGUCGGAUUAGCUAGUUGGCGGGGUAAAGGCCCACCAAGGCGACGAUCCGUAGCUGGUCUGAGAGGAUGAUCAGCCACACUGGAACUGAGACACGGUCCAGACUCCUACGGGAGGCAGCAGUGGGGAAUAUUGGACAAUGGGCGCAAGCCUGAUCCAGCCAUACCGCGUGGGUGAAGAAGGCCUUCGGGCUGUAAAGCCCUUUUGUUGGGAAAGAAAAGCAGCAGGUUAAUACCCCGCUGUUCUGACGGUACCCAAAGAAUAAGCACCGGCUAACUUCAUG
rnacentral:rRNA from 1 species